GGGGAAUCUUGCACAAUGGGGGAAACCCUGAUGCAGCGACGCCGCGUGAACGAUGAAGCCCUUCGGGGUGUAAAGUUCUUUCGACAGGAACGAUAAUGACGGUACCUGGAGAAGAAGCUGCGGCUAACUACGUGCCAGCAGCCGCGGUAAUACGUAGGCAGCGAGCGUUGUUCGGAGUUACUGGGCGUAAAGAGUGCGUAGGCGGCGAGCCAAGUUUGGUGUGAAAUCUCCCGGCUUAACCGGGAGGGUGCGCCGAAAACUGGUUGGCUGGAGUAUGGGAGAGGAGAGCGGAAUUCCUGGUGUAGCGGUGAAAUGCGUAGAUAUCAGGAGGAACACCUGAGGCGAAGGCGGGUUGCUGGGCCGACACUGACGCUGAUGCGCGAAAGCCAGGGGAGCAAACG
rnacentral:rRNA from 1 species